AUUUUUACAUAAUCUUGAAAAAAUACCAAAAACAGUUUCAUUUUAGGUUUAUCUUUUAUAGUGUAUUUUAAUUAAUUAGGAGUGAUUUUACAUUUUUAUAGGUGCUUUAUACUAUUGUACAAAAAGAAUUGGAUUUGGGUCUAUAGUUUAUGAAUUUUAAUUUUUAACUCAAUUUUAAUCCAAUAAUACGUAGACCCAACCCAAAACCCAAAGCCAUCUAAGCCCAAAUCUUGUUAACCCAUACCCCAUUUCCCUUAAGGAGAUAAAAAAACCUAAACUUUUCUUCUCUUCUUCAGACCUGAACGACACACCCCUCAGAUCAUCUUCUUCACACCAAAACUCUAGCACCUAACCUAACCCUAGAACCCCUAAACCCUAGAGAUAUGGAGCCGCCGCCGCCGCUCCCUCCCCCCAUCUCCAUCUUCAACACCCUAAGACCACACCCCAUUCGUCCCCUCUUCUUCUUCAACCAAGGGAGAGGAACCCUAGAAACCUAAGACCUACUCUACUGCCAUCUCCUCACCAGCCAUGCUGCCGCGCCACCAAGCUCUCCAGAUGUCUGACAACAAUCUUCAACAACCAGCCAUCACCCCUUCUCAAAAAAUACCAAAAAUCGGCCGCCUCUAUCAUCCCCUUCACUCGCUAGAACUCGCCACCAGCAGCCCCCUCUCACUAUCGCCGACCAGCCAAUUAUCGCUGCUCCCUCAUCAUCAUAACUGGCCGGAAUCCGGCCGACCACACACACACGUACAACAGCUAAAAACAAAGGCAGGGAACGGACAAACAUAAAAAAAAUCAAAGAAAAACAUGGUUUUGGUUUUAAGAUUCUGACUUUUCAAUUUCUGAUUUUUAGUUGAGUCUAGCUUUAUAUGCGAAAUACAUAAUGAAAAUUUAGGUUGUUCUUUUAGUGUUGGUUUCCGAAAUGAAGUUGAGCUGAAACAGGUGUUCGAUUGUUGGAGUUUCCAUCCAAGGUGUGGUCCGUUGGUUUGGUUAGAGCUAGAUUUGCAGUUUUGAACUCCAUUCGUAGUUGCGGUAUUUAUCCGUGAACUGCCAAAACUUUAUUAAUUGCAAGAUCAUUUUUCAGGUCCAUCUCUUUUCAUCCCUCUUAUUAAUCAAUAGAUAUUCUUCUUCGUUUCAACAUAUUUGAAUUUGCUUAUGCUUUGUUUAACCUUGGUUAGUUUCAUUGUUAUUUUGUUUAAUUUGUUUUCUUUGAAUUUGUCUUAUAAGAUAUGUUCAAUAAAAAUGAAGACCUGAAAGAACCAAGUUGAAUGGAAAUGGCAAACAGUGAAUUAUUUCGAAUCGUGGGGGUUGAUCAAAUGUGUUUGGGUCAAUACAUUAAAUUAACGUUAGACAUGCGGGUUUAGGCUUGAGGCAAUCUUAUUGUUUUACCUUUAAUUGGGUCCGCUAGCAUUAUAUUUAGGCCGAUCACACUCGGGUAGGCAAAUCGUAGGUCGCUUCUUUUAUUUUAUUCGAGGCGAGAGGUCAUUUCCUUUAGUUUAUUAUCCGGGGAAUGCCCUGUAGAUAUGAUAUAUAUAUAUAGGCUUGAGGCAAUCUUAUUGUUUUACCUUUAAUUGGGUCCGCUAGCAUUAUAUUUAGGCCGAUCACACUCGGGUAGGCAAAUCGUAGGUCGCUUCUUUUAUUUUAUUCGAGGCGAGAGGUCAUUUCCUUUAGUUUAUUAUCCGGGGAAUGCCUUGUAUAUAUAUAUAUAUAUAUGUAUAUAUAUUUUAUCCGGGGUAUGCCCCGAAAUAUUUGUAUUUGGAGGUCGAAAGUAGAACUCGUAGUAUUUUUAUUUUCAUUUUCUUUUAUUAGUUGGGGACGACCUCGGGCCUCUUGUGUGUUUAUUUUUCUUGUCUGCGUUUAUUUUUACCUCAAUUUGAAUAUUUUAAAAGCCAACUAGAUCGAGCACGCAACCGUACUAGUUACGGGACUCAGAGAAUGCCUAACAUCUUCUCCCCGAGUCAAAUGAGUCCCCUUACCAAAAUCUCUGGUGUAGACUUAGUUUUGGAGUCCAAAGUAUUUUAAAAGGAAAUUUUUAGAAAAACGGUGACUUGACACACCGAAAUCAAAUGUCAGGUGACGACUCUGAGUUAAUCCUUUUGAACACAAAUUUUUGUCACUUUCUAAUUGAAAACCCUUUUGAGCUUCAUAAAAAAAUCUUUUAUUAAUUUUAAGAGGGUUAGUGAGUUAAAAAAGGGGCGUGACAGCUCUGGCGACUCUGCUGGGGACUUGCAGGUUCGAGCUAAUACUUGAUCUUGUUGGCUUUUAGGAUAUUCGAUUGAGGUUUUGUUCUCUUUAUUUUCUUUGUUUGUUUUAUUUCUUGUUUCAUUGGUUAUUUGUUUAUCGCUUUAUAACUGUCACCAUUUGCAUAACCAUGAGUCUUCUUUCUGCAACAAGUAUUCCGGAGUACGUUUGAGCGUACACGGUCUUUUGUGAGUCACUCGUGUCUUUAGGGGGUGGCAUGGGAGAGUGGAGUGGGCGGAUAGUUAGAGCAGCCACCAUCGACCAUGUGCCGCCCCGAAUUGCCUUGUCUAGUGAACCCCAAACUUAGGUCAGCCUCUAGGUCAUGCUUAUUUGCAUCAUGUCAUUUACACUUAGUAGGGCUCGGUCCUAGGCACCGUGUCCCUUUGUAGAAGGCCUAUCCAAACUAUGUCAAAACAGGCCCAUAGCCCAAAAAGUCAUUUGAUCAUUCCUAUAUGCUAAAUGUUGCAUUCUUUUAGGGUAAGUGGGUCAUUUGGCGGACCAAUGAGAUAAAAGAGGGCGAGAUAAAAUAAAGCAAGUAGAACAUAGUUAUUUUUUUUCUUUUACAACUUUUUCAAGAAAGAAAAGAAAAGCCAAAAAUUACAAAAGAAAAUAAAUAAAUAAUCCAAAAGAUUUUACAUGUUUCAGAUUUUUUCAAAAAAGAACAAAAAUAUGUUUUCUCCAAAUCAGUAUUUUUUAAAUUUUCUCCCAUAUCCAAUCUUCCCGAACUACGCAUACCUGAUUCUCGUCUUUCGGGGCGAGAUACGUAGGCAACCCACAUAGGGUCCGAUCUUCCUAGUUAGGUUCUUGUCUUCGCGGGGUCUUAGCCAAAUCUUGCAUGUCUAGCCACUUCUGGCCACAUUAGCCGUUUUUGUAAAAUAGGGCUAUUUUCUCAAAGAAGUUUGUUAUUCCAUGUCUUAGAGCCCUUAGUCUACAACAAGGUAUCCUCUCAGUUUUAAGGUCCAUUCAUGUUGAAUUUGCAUGUCUAGCCACUUUUGGGCCAUAUCGGCUGUUCUUACAACAUGGGGCCAUUUUUGUAAAAGUGGUUCAAUGAACCAUGUCUUAGAAUCUUGAGUCCACAAUUAGGUGUAAUGUUACUUUAAGGUCCGUCCUUUUUGAGUUUGCAUCUUUAGUUACUUUUGGCCACAUCGGCCAUUUUUGCAAAAUGGGUCAUUUUUGCAAAGUAAUUUCUAGGGCCAUAAUUAUUGGGAGUUUGAAGUCAUAUAAGCCUUAGUGAGGUAUUUCCAUGUCUUUGAGGUCACCUUUGUUGAGUUUACGCUAAUAGCAACUCUUGGCCACGUAGGUUAAUUUUAAAAAAAUAGCCCAAUUGUGUCUUGCAUGUGUCUAAUAGGAGGUGUUGUGGCAUCACAUAGUGUCUUGAGUCACUAACUCUAUUUGGUCUUAUUUUUCUCAUUUAGGUAUGGAUCCAUUUUCCGAAGCUUGAGCAUGACAAAUGCCCCAUGUCCAUCCAGUCAGGACCACUGCAUUCAUGAGUUGCUUGAGGAUACUUUUUAUAUUUU
rnacentral:lncRNA from 1 species